CGGAUCUCCUUGACCAGCAACAGCAAAAUAGGUGAUCUCCCACUGCAGCGGGACCCCCUCCCCACCAUAAAGGGGCGUCUUCGCUUUGGGCUCAUUUUCCUUAAUCCGGAUAAUGGAGAUAAACCGAAGCAGCUGCCUUCGCAGAGGGGAACUCCGUCCGCUGAUCAGCCCCAGGGAGAGGAGCGGGGUUGGUCAUAGAGGUGGGGGGAUCGGAGUGAGCAGAUUCAGGAGCACAGGGGAGCCCCAAAGCAGGAGGUGGCACAACGAGGGAAGAAAAACGAUCCGUUUUCCCCGGGCAACUUGAAAACAGGGAUCUUUCCAGCCGCGAUGUCUCUAAUCCCAAAGCAAUUAUUUCCUAAUUGACGGGAAUUGCUUCUGCCGUCCGGACCCGGCUUCCCCCCCAUGUACCGACACCUGCGGGGCUCUGAGCUGGGAUUCUCCUGGAGCUACGAACGGGGACGGGGUGGGGGGACCCCGGUUUUCUCCGCUGAGAUAGAAACGCAGGGGAAGAAAAGCGAUUUCGAUUGAGGGAUUCGAGUAAUGCGGUCUCCCCGUGUUUUUACCCUUCGGAAAAGGAUGGAGUUAAGUUUCUGCAGUGCAGAACAUCAGCAUCCGACCGUGUGCUGCUCGUAAACCGACAAGCCCUCCGUUGUAUUCAUGCACAGAAUUUAAUGUAGUCUGGCACUUCCUAUAAGCAAACAAUUCACCGACCCAUCGGCUGAUACUCGGCUUUUUAUCUUCCCCCAUUCUGGCAAAUGCUGUUUGGGUGUUCGAUUGAUUCACAGCCGCGCAUUCAUUUCCCAACCCAAAUGAACUCGACCGCAGCUGGGAACGAGCCACAGAGUUUAAAUCAAACCGUGUGAAGCCGCGAAUUGGUCGCUGGAAGUGCCAGGAGCCACCUGGGUCGGGGUCUGGGCAUUCACCGAGUGCUAAAGCUGCUCAGGUUCCCCAGGACCCCGCGGCGAGGCGGAGUCCGUGUCCCCACCCUCAGCCUCCUCUCCGCCCAAAGGCGGGGGCCGGGAAUAAGGAACGGGGCGGAGCGGGGGGGAGAGGUGACCUUUGAAACCCCCCCCCUCCCCGGAGCACCGAGAUCCCAGUCCUUCCCUAUUGCUGCUCCCACUUCGUGCUGAGCUCUCGGAUUGGACUCAAGAGCUGAGGAGGGGGGAGGAUGCGAGUGUCUCCCGGUUUGCUGCGGUCUUUGCUCCAUCCAGGGGACACUGAGCCCACCCAUCCCCGGGGGGUAGCUCCCUUUGGAUGGUCCAUCGCUGUGCUCAGGAAGGCAGGAGGAGCCCGACUGAGCCACCCGGCCGCUUUUUGGUUGUGCACAAAUCUCCCCUCGCAGUGCAGAUGAAAACAAUAAAUAUAUAUUUUUUAAAUCAUCCCAAAAAGCGCUGUCCCAAAUUCCCACUGACUGUGACCCAAGUGAUAUUUCCACACUGGGGCUGCCCUGUGGACGUGCUCGGCUCAGAUCCCCGAUGUUUUGCCUGCUCUGAAGACCUUAGUCCAAACGUUUUGCCGUGAAUAUCAGGAAACUUAAUUCCCAUUGCUACGGGCACUGCAGGGGCUGAGCACCUCAGCCACCAUCCUGCUGCUCUGCACACUUCUGUGCCCAGCCUGGGGCUGAAGGAGCCAUCACUCAUCUCGCUGUGAUUUAU